rnacentral:rRNA from 1 species
GACAGAGGUGGCGAGCGUUAUCCGGAUUGACUGGGCGUAAAGGGUGCGUAGGCGGUCGCGCAAGUCGGAUGUGAAAUCUCAGGGCUCAACCCUGAAACUGCAUUCGAUACUGCGUGGCUAGAGUGCUGGAGAGGAGACUGGAAUUUACGGUGUAGCAGUGAAAUGCGUAGAUAUCGUAAGGAAGACCAGUGGCGAAGGCGAGUCUCUGGACAGCAACUGACGCUGAGGCACGAAGGCCAGGGGAGCAAACGGG